rnacentral:rRNA from 1 species
AUACUUUUGUAUAUUGGGUAGGGGAGCGUUCUGUAAGCGGUUGAAGGUGUGUGGUAACGCAUGCUGGACGUAUCAGAAGUGCGAAUGCUGACAUGAGUAACGAUAAAGGGGGUGAAAAACCUCCUCGCCGGAAGACCAAGGGUUCCUGUCCAACGUUAAUCGGGGCAGGGUAAGUCGACCCCUAAGGCGAGGCCGAAAGGCGUAGUCGAUGGGAAACGGGUUAAUAUUCCCGUACUUCUUACAAUUGCGAUGGGGGGACGGAGAAGGCUAGGUGGGCCUGGCGACGGUUGUCCAGGUUCAAGUGCGUAGGCUGAGAGAUUAGGUAAAUCCGGUU